rfam:Haemophilus ducreyi strain 35000HP complete genome.
CAUAUGGUACUUAUCAGCGGAUGUCAUUAAAUAAUAUAAAUCAUUUAACUGCAACAAGAUAAGUGGCGAUAUGGCUUCAUCAGAGGU